GUAACCUGCGUGCAGGAGGACGCUUCUCGAGGACUUGAUUUCGUUCGCUCCACUUGAACCGGUGGACAAAACGUCUUUUUAUUAAAAGAGCCGAACUCCCGUCCGAGCCGUGAGGGGAAGAUAAGGGCAGCUGGCUGACUGACGGGAGCUGCCUCCUCGCUGGAGAAGCUGCGGUCACAUCUAUUUUUCUUGACUUCAACGAGUGUGCGGCGACUCUUGAGGACGCCUCAUCCGAGCUGCGCGUGCUGCUGACAGAUGUGCAGCUUCAACUAACCUUCUGCAAUGCAGUUCUGUUUUCAUCGCGUGUCGUUUUUUUCCAUCACUGAGAUUCGAUUGAAGGGAAAAGUGGAUGGCAGCAACCGGCGCUGUGCGCAAGGAGGGAAAAACCCGCGGCAUCCACGCAGUCCAUUAGCUCUGCUUAAUGGCGAUCCAAGCCGGGCUCUCGGUGGUUUUAGCCUGCGGAUGUUUCUCGGCUGAGGAGGACGAUAAUCCUUUAGUUCCUCUCUCGUCUUGGUAUCUCCGUGCACAUCGUGUCCCAUCAGCAGCUUCUCAUCGCGGCCGCGUUCACGCCGCUCCGAGCGAGAUCGGUCUCUGCCUGAAACAAAAACCUCCGUUUCCCUCCGCGUGACCUCGGCGCCGCCGCUCCGCUCGCCAUCUCCGGUGCAAUCGGCUGAGCCACGAGGUUUAUUCACAGAAUAUCCUGGAUAAGUAUGUUGGAGGAUGAUGUAACAGGUCUGCGUCUAGAAUCAGGCGUGUUGAUCAGUUUGGCUGUUUUCUAAGUAUCGGAUUGCAAAUAUUUUGAAUGAUAUCAGACAUUCCGAUACUGUCCCCAUCAUACAUGACUGUUCCUCUUCUCAAGUUUCA
ensembl:lncRNA